UUAAGUUCAGCGGGUAUCCCUACCUGAUCCGAGGUCAAACGCAAGAAUAAUAGGCUUGCUGGACGCUCGACAAGCAGUCUGAAAGCAACGCAUGUGCUGCGCUCCCAGGCUUUUGCCGGCUGCCAAUUGCUUUAAGGCGAGUCUACGCGCAAUGGCGAGACAAACACCCAACACCAAGCAGAGCUUGAGGGUACAAAUGA
rnacentral:misc_RNA from 1 species